rnacentral:tRNA from 2 species
GCCCUCGUAGCUCAGUUGGAUAGAGCGCGGCUUUCCUAAAGCUGAGGUCGCAGGUUCGAAUCCUGUCGGGGGUA